rnacentral:lncRNA from 1 species
ACACUCUGACCGAGCGCUUCUGUCCUCUCGCAGGUUUACAGCGCCGAGAAGCUGCAGGUGUCCCAUGAAGCGUGAUGGAGGAGAACAAGAGCAGUCCAAAAAAGGAGAGCCCCUGUAGAGCGCCCCCCGCGGGGACACCUGCUCCACGCGCGGCUUCAGCAGGGACGCCGGAAGAAGACGAACGCUCUCCGGAUCCCGUUCGCAGACGCGCCGAAUGUAAGACGUGCCCCCGCUCCCGUGUCUCCUGGCUGCGUCGCCCGGCUGGACGACCCGGCGACGCUCGUCUGCUCUCUGUCCUGCCCGUAGCUCCACAGCGCCUCUCGCCGGCCAGUGCGCAGCUGCUGGAAGAACUGAGGAGCAGAGCACAGCGCACCCGCAGGGAGGGGUCCCCAGAGCAUCCCGCAGCGCCCACAAGCCCCGCCUUCGCACCACCCGCAGCGAGCACCUCCCCAGGGUCCCGCGGGGAAGGGGCGACGCCUCUGACGGGGGGUGAGCACCUCUGUGCUUUUACAGUCAUUUCUGAUGUGUACCUCGGUGUACCGCAGCAGCAAUCCGAUCCCUAAACCGGUGCCUCCUCAGAGAAUACAUUGUGUGCGUGAGAAAGCGUUUCUGCUCUUUCUGCCUUUUUGGCAUCGAUUACAGUGAAUUACCAGGGUACAGUAAAAAAUAGGCAUCAGUUUGUACACCGACCCUGUGUGUUUGACUGCGCCCAUCGGUGUCCUCCAGCGUAUCACUGGGCGCACGGGGCUGACUUGUCGCCUGCGCGAUGGCGCGCUCACCUGGCACCAGGAAGGAAGCGCAUCGCCGAGUGCGACUCACCUGCCCUCCGCCUCCCUUCUCUUCCCAGGAGGCCUCUCUCUCUGCGGUCCGGAGCUGCUCCGCGAGCUCAAGCAGUCGCGCUCCCUGCGCCACAUCACACCUCACUCGGGCCUCACCACGGUCUUCUCGGGGAGGGGCGGAGCGGUAGGAGCAGCCUGCGGUGUUGGGGUGGUGGGGCGGGGGGUCGGGAUCAGAAAUUCCUCGCUUCCAAAUGUGAAACAAUAUUUUAGUCAGUGACCCCAGCGGAAGAGGCAGCUGGGCUGCAGAGUGGAGACACACACACACAAACACACACACACUCUCCAGUAGGGGGGUGCUGUCUGUCUGAGUUCGGUGCCACUCAAGAGCAGGGUAAGAGGUUACAGUACAACUGCCAGCAGCAGUGACCGUCACAGGUCCUGCUCAUUCCUGGUCUGGAGCUCCUGCCACUUGGUGGCGCCGUCCUGCCGAGACACCGGUCUUCGCUGCCCAGGUUCUGGCUGAAGGGAACGAGAGAUCAGUGUUGCUUUGCUCACUUUCCAAAGGCUUUCUGGUCCUCUUGAGCCACACAGCUGUCUCUGCUCCUCGGCUGGUGUCCUCCAGCCAGCUGCAGUUCAGCUGCGGUUCAGCUGCGGUCCAGCUGCGGUCCAGCUACGGUCCAGCUGCAGUCAAGCAGCGUUCGAGCUGGAGGAGAAGCAUAAGCGCCGAGGAGAAGCAGUGUAAGAUCCUGCAUUAGAGAUGGAGGAUGAAACCGAGCUGGGAGGCAGAAACCACCGACAUGAGAAAAGCCUCAGUUUCUUUUCUUACUGGGUUCCGUGUGUACCGCCGUUAACGUGCGGUCCGCGGUCCGUACACGUGUAUGAAAACACGGAGAGCUUUUCACAUCUCUUCCCCAUUUCGUUGUUCCUCUGUGUCUGUCUGCGUUUGUGCGUCUCCCAGACCAGAGCCUCGGUCCACGGUUCAGCUCCCAUCAGCCGCUCCCAAGUCCAGGUUCUGCCGAAGGCCUCGACCAAUCAGAGCGCAGGAGGCGGAGACAGAGCGCUUUUAGCCAACGGGGAGCAGAAAUAGACGCUCGCAGUCGGUCUUUCGGUCCGUCUCUGCAGCUCGACUUGUGUUUGACCAUAGCGAUGUUGCAGUAAGGGUUAUUUGCACAACUCUGUAUUGUAAUGACUUCAUUUUUUUAUUUUGUUUUCUUUUAUUUCAACUUCAAGUGUUUUACAGUGGAAAAAAUGUUCCAGAGCUGGAUCCCGGACCCAAGUUGUGGUUCUUCCUGACACCCUGAACACACUCUUCUCACCAAUAAACACGUUCGGUUGAACCA